AUUGAACGCUGGCGGCAGGCCUAACACAUGCAAGUCGAGCGAGCGGCGGACGGGUGAGUAAUGGCUGGGAAACUGCCUGAUGGAGGGGGAGAACGACUGGAAACGGUAGCUAAUACCGCAUACCAUCAGAUGUGCCCAGAAGGGAUUAGCUGGUAGGGGGGGUAACGGCUACCCUAGGCGACGAACCCUAGCUGGGCUGAGAGGAUGACCAGCCACACUGGAACUGAGACCCUGUCCAGACUCCUCCGGGAGGCAGCGGUGGUGAAUAUUGCACAAUGGGCGCAAGCCUGAUGCAGCCAUGCCGCGUGUGUUAAGAAGGCCUUCGGGUUGUAAAGCACUUUCAGCGGGGAGGCGUUACCCGCAGAAUAAGCACCGGCUAACUCCGUGCCAGCCGCCGCGGUAAUAC
rnacentral:rRNA from 1 species